rnacentral:misc_RNA from 1 species
GAUGAAGAACGCAGCGAAAUGCGAUAAGUAAUGUGAAUUGCAGAAUUCAGUGAAUCAUCGAAUCUUUGAACGCACAUUGCGCCCGCCAGUAUUCUGGUGGGCAUGCCUGUUCGAGCGUCAUUACAACCCUCAGGCCCCCGGGCCUGGCGUUGGGGAUCGGCGGAAGCCCCCUGCGGGCACAACGCCGUCCCCCAAAUACAGUGGCGGUCCCGCCGCAGCUUCCAUUGCGUAGUAGCUAACACCUCGCAACUGGAGAGCGGCGCGGCCACGCCGUAAAACACCCAACUUCUGAAUGUUGACCUCGAAUCAGGUAGGAAUACCCGCUGAACUUAAGCAUAUCAAUAAGCGGAGGA